AUGACCGCAGUGAAGGCUACUGGAGCGAAGGUUAUUUGUGCACGAUGGAUGGUUGUUGAUCGGUUGAAUCUGCGAGCGAUUUGUGGUUGUACAGGAACAUUAUUGUUGAAGACGUUUGCAGGGCGGAUGCUGCGGAGUUGCGGGAGAGGGUCUGAGCGGGAUUCGUCGGUGGUGGUAAUCUGUGAUUUCUUUCUAUGUAUUAUUAUUAUUUUUGUUUCCAAUUUCCUUUCCUUUUUCUUGUUCCGAUGUACCUAA